rnacentral:rRNA from 1 species
UACGAAGGGGACUAGCGUUGUUCGGAAUUACUGGGCGUAAAGCGCACGUAGGCGGAUCGAUCAGUCAGGGGUGAAAUCCCAGGGCUCAACCCUGGAACUGCCUUUGAUACUGUCGAUCUGGAGUAUGGAAGAGGUGAGUGGAAUUCCGAGUGUAGAGGUGAAAUUCGUAGAUAUUCGGAGGAACACCCGUGGCGAAGGCGGCUCACUGGUCCAUUACUGACGCUGAGGUGCGAAAGCGUGGGGAGCAAACAGG